CUCUCCAUGAGUGACCACAGCUGUGGUCAUUUUUGGGUGGUCAGUUGGUCAUUCCAGGCCAGCACAUGGUCAGUGUCCACUCCAGUGUCCACUCUGUAUUGUCCACUCUCCAUGAGUGACCACAGCUGCGGUCAUUUUUGGAUGGUCAGUUGGUCAGUGGCCAUUCCUGGGUGGUCACUCAGUGGUCAGUGGUCACUCCAUGGUCAUUCUCAGGCCAGCCCGUGGUCACUCAGUGAUCAGUGGUCACUCAGUGGUCACUCUCAGGCCAGCCUGUGGUCACUCCCAGGUGGUAACUCCGUGGUCAAUGGUCACUCAGCGGUCAAUGGUCACUCAGCGGUCAAUGGUCACUCAGUGGUCACUCAGUGGGU
rnacentral:lncRNA from 1 species